CAUUACGUGUGUGUGUGCACACUCUUGAUUUGAACAGAAGCUUUGAACCAAAAGAGUGAAACCGUGUGUGUCUGUGUGUUUUUCAUGUGCAUUGGUGUGAACCUCAGAUAAGACAAACACCUCCGACACAAACUUUGGAUACUGAAGAGAUCUGGAGGGUUAAUACACGCUAUUCACAAAGAACCUGUAAACCAACAAAGCAUACUGCUCUCCAGUACGACGGGAACUUCCAGCCACCCAGCAGAGCUACGAGUGGGAGAACAGAUAACAACGGAAGCGAGGGGAAACGAGUGAGCCGCCUUGUAACUGCGUUUGAAUGUAUUACUUCUCUUCACAAAAUAUGUCUCUUUGAGUGAAAGAGCGUGCGUGGGAAAGAUAGAAGUAGAUCUUAAGUAUCAAACAAGACCUUUUAUUAUAGGAAGUACACUAAUGCGUUGUAUUUUCUGAAACUAAGCAACCAACUGCAGAGUAGACAAUCUGCUUUCAGGUUUACACCGGCACACUCAUGCCCAGUGUACGCGUAUAAAACAGCGCUAAAAUGCUCAUGUAUGGAGAUUGACUCGCUGAAGGUCUUUGCCAUCAGAGCUUCCAGUGGAGUUGGGUUUCUCAACCUGUUGCUAGGCAGAUCCAAGAUGAAGGCUAACCCCUUCUGGCAGUUACAAGCUAAAGAGUCUCGGCCUUCGCUGGUCUAGUUACUAGCUAGUUGCAACAGUAAUACAAACACAGCACAUGCAGAUUAAGAAGCUGUGACAGACUUAUCACCUUGUAUAUUAAUGAUCUACUUUAGUCCAAAAAUCAUUAGCCUGUUGUUGCGUGUGAUAGGGAGUCGUGAGGAAAGAUGCAGCACAGACCGACCACAGCAAGCGCAAGCAAUUACUCUGAAAAUGUCCUUUUUACGGUACAAGAGGUAAACCAAAGAAAAUCUAGAAUUUUUUUUCAAUUUUAAACAUUCAACAAUGGCUAUAAUUCUUACUUUUUGUCAAUAAAAAAAAAUAAAAAAUACAGAAUAAAUACCAUAAAUGACUGUAAAGUAAAAGCUUCAUCAUAAAACUCUGACCUGUCGAUGAUUCCUGAAGUGGGCUGCAGCUUGUGCUCGGUUAUACAGGGCAGGCACAACAGACUGACUGAAAUGCACACUUGAAGGCACAUUGUAGUGGGGCUCAAAACACAUUGACCAUAUGUUUUAAUUCUGUAUUGAUCAAGUGUGCUCUCAAAUACACUGCGAUAAAAUAGCUUUAGUUAUUGGUUUGGCAGUGGGGGGGGUAGAGUAGUGUAGCAGGGCAGUUUGUAGUGUGUCCACAGACAUACCCUACUUCAGUUUAACAGUUUGGCAAACAUUUGGACACAAAUCGUUGUCCAUUGAGAUUAUUCGGCUAAACCGAAUAGCAUGCUACAGCUGACAACUGCCAAAGCUUUCCAGGUAAAUGUAUGUUCUGCUUGUGCGAGUAGUCGACAUUAACAGCUGUUUGGGACACAGGGCAGAAAGGAUGUUGCAUAUAUCACAUUACAGGUCAUUUAGCAGACGCUCUUAUCCAGAGCGACUUACAGUGAACUAACUACAGGGACAGUCCCCCAGGAGCAACUCAGGGUUAAGUACCUCAGUGUUCAGGGGAACAAUGGUGGCAGCCCUGGUAUUGAACACAACCAUCUGGUGUUGUAUUUGGAAGCCGUACCACCCUACGGAACCGAACAUCCUGUACGGAACGGUUUGAAGCAAAUACACGUACCGUUACCGUUGUGUGCAUCUCCACUAUUUUUGUCUGCAUUUGUCAAUCUUUAAUGACAGGACAGUCUGACAUUUUAAUAUGGAUAAAUGAAAAUAUAGUAAUACAUGGCCUUGUGGAUGUGGAAUACAGGAAAUAUGAGGCAGUUUCUGGUGUAGCCGAAAUGCUGUUUCACAUUUGUGAUUGACCCCAUUAUUGACAGUCCCCUCAUAAUGAGGCAACAAUAAUGCUGGUGAAGGAAAGAGAACCAUCACUCAUCAUCGUCGUCGUCUUCUUCUCCUCCUCUCAUGGUGUCAAACAUGAGGUUUUCUUAACAAGCCGAAGCGUGUGCGUAGGGGUACUUAUGGCUUCAUUAGCUACCCACAGUACACUUGGCCUAAUGAAAAGCUGAAGGAUUUAAAAUAAUGAACACACACACACAUACUCGUGAGCGCGCUUGUGUGUGUUGAGUGUGAUCAAAGAUAACAGCCGCAUCACAUUUGUGUGGCCUGUGCUGAUUUACAUUUAUUCACUAAAGGAGACAGAUGGACAGAUGAUGACAGAGAGGGAGAAAAAGGACAGAGGGAGUGGAAAGUGAGCGUAGUGACAGGCUGCUAUCCAGGGGGAAGCAAUUAGACGGACUCGGCUGCUGUCACUUAAGACAGGAAGAGAGAAAAAUUGGG